UUAGCCCGUGAGAACCUGCAUUGUUGGAUUGAUCAAGAAUUUCAUCAAGAGAUUUACAGCACUGGGGCUGAAGAACAGAGCUCCAAAAGGCUGAGACUGCUUGACAAAAGAGAGGUUUAAGAUAUGGAAUAUGGGGUCUAUACUGGACAGGAAUUGAAGUAGUGACAAUGGAGAAAUGAGGAAGGGAUGAUACAGAGACUAGGUCUCUAUAAACUCAAAGAGUAGAUGGGGCAACAGGGGCAGUAAAAGAUGGAAGGGUAGGAAGCAGCAGUCAGUGCUAGUAGUUGAAGGAUGGCUGAAGUGUAAAAUGGAAGCUCUUUCAAGACAGCAGGAACCUCACUUUCUCUAAAAGGUAAAACUCCCUCUGAAUUCUUACAGCUCUUGCUGUACACAACAGUAAUAUCACACUCUAGAUAGUUUUUUCCCUUGUAGAACUAAAUUUGUUUCACUUAUGGCUAUAUAUCCCCCACAAAUGUGUACACACACAGAGAUGCACACAAAGGCAUACUCAAUAAAUACUUGUAAAUGAAUUAAAUAGAAUCUGAAUUCACUGUUAUUCAACUUUGAAUGAGCCUGCCUUUCUCAAGAAUGGAAUCAUAAACUUCUUUGAGGGCAGAGACAGUGUAUCAUACUUCUAUAUCCCCUGUACCUAAUGAGUACUUUAUAUGCAGCAGACACACAAUUUCCACCACCACCGAAACCACAACAAAAUGUUAAACAAGUGUGUUCCAGGGUAGAAAGAUUUGCAUUUCCCGAAUUUUCCCUCAACUGCUGACACACUAUCCAUAAAACUCUCUAAAUAUAGUAUGAAGUUGUAGGAAAGCUAGUGAAUGCCAAAGAUCAUCCUUAGCCUUUGUCCAUUUAGAUAUAUGCUACUUCUUUUGGGUAGUUUCUAUCAAUAACUGAGCCAAAUCAUUUAGAAAUUCAUGUGAAGUGUUCCACAUGAGUAUCUAUCAGCUUCAAUAUUUAUCCCAAGUUUAAAAUUCCAGGCCAAUACACACUGAUACAAAACAAAACAACACACAGAAUUUAAAAAAAUUACAAUCACAGCACACCAGUGUAAAUGAUAACAAUAGACACUUAAGUAAACGUCUUGUCUUUCCACUCAACUACAAGGGAGCUUCAAAAACAAAACAAAACAAAAGCUCUAUCCAUAUCCAUCCUAGAGAUUCUAAUGUAAUUAGUCUGGGCUGCAGUCCAGGUAUGAAUGCCUUAAAAUCUCUCCAGGUGAUUAUAAUGUACAGUCAGGGCUAAGAACCACAACUUCUCAAGUCACUUUGUUUCCUGCAAUUUAAAUGAUGGCACACCGCUGCAAAAACAAACAAAAAAACA